CAGUAGCCGCGGGAAUACAGAGGAUGCAAGCGUUAUCCGGAAUGAUUGGGCGUAAAGCGUCUGUAGGUGGCUUUUCAAGUCCGCCGUCAAAUCCCAGGGCUCAACCCUGGACAGGCGGUGGAAACUACCAAGCCGGAGUACGGUAGGGGCAGAGGGAAUUUCUGGUGGAGCGGUGAAAUGCGUUGAGAUCGGAAAGAACACCAACGGCGAAAGCACUCUGCUGGGCCGACACUGACACUGAGAGACGAAAGCUAGGGGAGCAAAUGGGAUUAGAUACCCCAGUAGUCCCUGUCUCUUAUAC
rnacentral:rRNA from 1 species